UACGUAGGGUGCAAGCGUUGUCCGGAGUUAUUGGGCGUAAAGAGCUCGUAGGCGGUUUGUCACGUCGGAUGUGAAAACCCGAGGCUUAACCUCGGGCCUGCAUUCGAUACGGGCUGACUAGAGUUCGGUAGGGGAGACUGGAAUUCCUGGUGUAGCGGUGAAAUGCGCAGAUAUCAGGAGGAACACCGGUGGCGAAGGCGGGUCUCUGGGCCGAUACUGACGCUGAGGAGCGAAAGCGUGGGGAGCGAACAGG
rnacentral:rRNA from 1 species